rnacentral:rRNA from 1 species
UAAGAGUUUGAUCCUAGCUCAGGAUGAACGCUGGCGGCGUGGAUAAGGCAUGCAAGUCAAACGACCAGCUCCAGUUCGCAAGAACUGGAGCUGGUAGUGGCGAACGAGGUAGUAACACGUGGGUACAUCCCUUUUAGUCAGGAAUAACCAGUCGAAAGAUUGGAUAAUACUUGAUAGUCUCGCUCAACUUUUUUGGUCGCAAUAUCACUGACGGCGGUAUUGUUAUUAAAAAAGUUGGGCGAGUAAAGAUUUAUUGCUAAAAGAAUGGCCUGCGGAGUAUCAGCUAGUUGGUAAGGUAAUGGCUUACCAAGGCAGUGACGCUUAGGGGGAGUGAGAGCUUGGCCCCCACCGAUGGUACUGCGACACGGACCAUACACCUACGGGUGGCCGCAGCCGAGAAUAUUCGACAAUGGACGAAAGUCUGAUCGAGCGACGCCGCGUGAUGGAUGAAGUCCCUCUGGGACGUAAACAUCUUUUAUGAGGGAGAAAGUUUAUUGAUAGUACCUCAAGAAUAAGGGGUUGCUAAACUCGUGCCAGCAGCAGCGGUAAUACGAGUGCCCCGAGCGUUAUCCGGAAUCAUUGGGCGUAAAGGGUGUGUAGGUGGUUUUGUUAGUCGCUUGUUAAAACCCGGGGCUUAACCUCGGAUGUGCGGGCGAAACGGCAAAGACUUGAGGAUGGCAGGGAUGUAUGGAACUCAUGGAGUAGGGGUGAAAUCCGUUGAUAUCAUGGGGAACACCAAAAGCGAAGGCAGUACAUUGGGCCACUCCUGACACUGAAACACGAAAGCGUGGGUAGCGAAGCAGAUUAGAUACCUGCGUAGUCCACGCCCUAAACGAUGACAACUAGCUAUGCGGAGUAUCGACCCUCUGCGUGGCGUAGCUAACGCGUUAAGUUGUCCGCCUGGGUAGUACGACCGCAAGGUUAAAACUCAAAGGAAUAGACGGGGACUUGCACAAGCAGAGGAUUAUGUGGUUUAAUUCGAGGAUAAACGAAGAACCUUACCAAGAUUUGAAACCUAACUGAAUCCACCAGAAAUGGCGGAGUCUCACAAGGACAGUUAGGCAGGUGAUGCAUGGCCGUCGUCAGUUCGUAGUUUGAACCGUUCCCUUAAGUGGGGUAACGAACGCAACCCUCGUUGUCUGUUACACGUAUCAGGCGAGACUGCCCCGCUCAAAUUUUUUCGAGAUAAUGUCACUAAGUAUUAUUUAAAUAUUUUUUGUGGCGAAUAUUAACUUUGGUUGAUAACUUUCUGGAAAAACUUGAGCGGGGAGGAAGGCGAGGAUGACGCCAGGUCAGCAUGUCCCUUUGAUAUCUUGGGCUACACACAUAAUACAAUGGCGGCUACAACGGGCUGCGACGGGGAAACCCCGAGCUAAUCCUAAUAAAAGCCGCCCCAGUUCGGAUUGGGGGCUGAAACUCGACCCCAUGAAGUUGGAUUUGCUAGUAAUCGCGGGUCAGACAUACCGCGGUGAAUACGUUCUCAAGUCUUGUACUCAGAAUACAAUGCGCUUGGCAGUUUGUCAAGGUCUAGUCGGUUAAAAUCCGGCCUUUCAUAGGAGUAUGAAAAUAGCGAAAGGGUAGGUUCACAGCAGUAAUGAAUGGACUGAAGGAUCCUAGUAGCAAAAGACAGCCCGAUCAUAAAAAGAGAUGUGCGACUUCUGCGGUGAGUCAGAAGGAAGUACCACGAAAGUCUCGAUCGGGAUGUCUGGAAAAGAAUGACAAAUGACCCAAGGAGAUCUUGUGGAGUUAUCCACAAGAAGUCAGCUGCGUCGUAGUACCAUCCUACAGACACUAAGUGUCUGUAGGAUGGGAAGGACAAAAUCGAUAGUUCUAGAAGUAAUUCUUGAAAUUACCGAACUCGCGUAGUGCGGGAAAUCCGCUCGCUACGUCCAAAGUCGUGAAUUACGGGAAGCGAUAUGGUCCCGCCCAAGUUUUGCUUCGCAAAAUUUAGGCGGGAGGGAACUCGAAACAUAAUAGUUAUCGAAAUCCGCCCGUCAACUCAGGGGAGUUGGGAGUACCCGAAGCUUAGCGUAUGCUAAACCACGGUAAACUCAAUGACAAAGAGUAAGUC